rnacentral:rRNA from 1 species
CAGUAGCCGCGGUAAUACAGAGGAUGCAAGCGUUAUCCGGAAUGAUUGGGCGUAAAGCGAGCGCAGGCGGUUAGAUAAGUCUGAAGUUAAAGGCUGCGGCUUAACCAUAGUACGCUUUGGAAACUGUUUAACUUGAGUGCAAGAGGGGAGAGUGGAAUUCCAUGUGUAGCGGUGAAAUGCGUAGAUAUAUGGAGGAACACCGGUGGCGAAAGCGGCUCUCUGGCUUGUAACUGACGCUGAGGCUCGAAAGCGUGGGGAGCAAACGGGAUUAGAUACCCCAGUAGUCCCUGUCUCUUAUACC